rnacentral:rRNA from 1 species
UACGAGAGGCCCAAACGUUAUUCGGAUUUACUGGGCUUAAAGAGUUCGUAGGCGGCGCAGAAAGUCGGGUGUGAAAGCCCUCGGCUCAACCGAGGAAUUGCGCUUUAAACUACUGUGCUUGAGGAACCUAGAGGUGAGCGGAACUGAUGGUGGAGCGGUGAAAUGCGUUGAUAUCAUCAGGAACACCGGAGGCGAAGGCGGCUCACUGGGGGUUAUCUGACGCUGAGGAACGAAAGCCAGGGGAGCGAACGGG